rnacentral:rRNA from 1 species
UACGUAGGGGGCUAGCGUUGUCCGGAUUUAUUGGGCGUAAAGAGCGUGUAGGCGGCCAAGUAGGUCCGGUGUGGAAACUCGAGGCUUAACCUCGAGAUGUCAUCGGAAACCAUUUGGCUAGAGUCCGGAAGAGGAAAGUGGAAUUCCUGGUGUAGCGGUGAAAUGCGCAGAUAUCAGGAAGAACACCAAUGGCGAAAGCAGCUUUCUGGGACGGUACUGACGCUGAGACGCGAAAGCGUGGGGAGCGAACAGG